rnacentral:rRNA from 1 species
CCUACGGGAGGCAGCAGUGAGGAAUAUUGGUCAAUGGCCGAGAGGCUGAACCAGCCAAGUCGCGUGAGGGAAGACGGCGCCACGGGUUGUAAACCUCUUUUGUCGGGGAGCAAAGAGAGGCACGUGUGACUCAUUGAGAGUACCCGAAGAAAAAGCAUCGGCUAACUCCGUGCCAGCAGCCGCGGUAAUACGGAGGAUGCGAGCGUUAUCCGGAUUUAUUGGGUUUAAAGGGUGCGUAGGCUGUCGGAUAAGUUAGGGGUCAAAAGUCGGGGCAUAACCCCGUGCCUGCCUCUGAUACUGUUCGACUAGAGAGCGGAUGAAGCAGGCGGAAUGAGUAGUGUAGCGGUGAAAUGCUUAGAUAUUACUCAGAACACCGAUUGCGAAGGCAGCUUGCUAAUCCGGAUCUGACGCUGAUGCACGAAAGCGUGGGUAGCGAACAGGAUUAGAUACCCCGGUAGUC